rnacentral:sRNA from 1 species
CCGAAACUGGCGCGGAGCAACUGAGGCCCGAGCCUUCUCGGGACCCGGGGGACGCCUAACCCCGCGAGACCCCUGCAAAUUUUCUUCCUCAUAAUUGGGAGAAGACUCACUGGCCGAAUGGCAGCAGUAGAUGACUUGCGAUUUGAAGAAUUUGGCAAUGCAGCCACUUCUCUGACAGCAAACCCAGAUGCCACCACAGUAAACAUUGAGGAUCCUGGUGAAACCCCAAAACAUCAGCCAGGAUCCCCAAGAGGCUCAGGAAGAGAAGAAGAUGAUGAGUUACUGGGAAAUGAUGACUCUGACAAAACUGAGGUACAGUGUCAGGCAAUGACAGCUCAGAGGUAAAUGACACAUGGCCUCUUCCUUGGUGGGGGAAACAGGCAAACAGACCAUUAUUUUCCUUACUUGCUGGACAGAAGAAAAGCUCCCCCUUCUGGACAUUUGAAUACUACCAAACAUUCUUUGAUGUGGACACCUACCAGGUCUUUGACAGAAUUAAAGGAUCUCUUUUGCCAAUACCCGGGAAAAACUUUGUGAGGUUAUAUAUCCGCAGCAAUCCAGAUCUCUAUGGCCCCUUUUGGAUAUGUGCCACGUUGGUCUUUGCCAUAGCAAUUAGUGGGAAUCUUUCCAACUUCUUGAUCCAUCUGGGAGAGAAGACGUACCAUUAUGUGCCCGAAUUCCGAAAAGUGUCCAUAGCAGCUACCAUCAUCUAUGCCUAUGCCUGGCUGGUUCCUCUCGCACUCUGGGGUUUCCUCAUGUGGAGAAACAGCAAAGUUAUGAACAUCGUCUCCUAUUCAUUUCUGGAGAU